ACGCUCGACACCUACAGGCAGCAGUGAGGAAUAUUGGUCAAUGGGCGCAGGCCUGAACCAGCCAAGUAGCGUGAAGGAUGACUGCCCUAUGGGUUGUAAACUUCUUUUAUAUGGGAAUAAAGUUUUCCACGUGUGGAAUUUUGUAUGUACCAUAUGAAUAAGGAUCGGCUAACUCCGUGCCAGCAGCCGGCGGUAAUCUGAGGCGGGCUGGCGAAGGC
rnacentral:rRNA from 1 species